CCUACGGGAGACAGCAGUGGGGAAUAUUGCACAAUGGGGGAAACCCUGAUGCAGCGACGCCGCGUGAGUGAAGAAGUACUUCGUUAUGUAAAGCUCUAUCAGCAGGGAAGAAAAUGACGGUACCUGAGCAAGAAGCCCCGGCUAACUACGUGCCAGCAGCCGCGGUAAUACGUAGGGGGCAAGCGUUAUCCGGAUUUACUGGGUGUAAAGGGAGCGUAGACGGCAGUGCAAGUCUGGAGUGAAAGGCGGGGGCUUAACCCCCGGACUGCUCUGGAAACUGUACGGCUGGAGUGCAGGAGAGGUAAGUGGAAUUCCUAGUGUAGCGGUGAAAUGCGUAGAUAUUAGGAGGAACACCAGUGGCGAAGGCGGCUUACUGGACUGUAACUGACGUUGAGGCUCGAAAGCGUGGGGAGCAAACAGGAUUAGAUACCCGAGUAGUC
rnacentral:rRNA from 1 species